UUUGGAUUAUGAAGAAUUGGCUAGCCUAAAUAGCACAUUCAGGAGGAUUUGAUACAUGUUCACUUUCUACAAUCCAUGAGGAGUCAAAAAGAUUAAUUGUGGCAAACUCAACUUUAAGCUAUGAUGAUAACUUGUUUUACACUUGCUUGAAAACAAAGGUGCUUCAAUGAAGACUUUCGAUACUGGUGUAAAGUCUUCUGGAUCGGAAAAGUCCAGCAAGAGGAGCAUUCCAAGAAGGGGUCGCACAUUGUCUCUUGAGUUGCCAACUAAAUUUGAAGCUUCUCAGAAUUAUAAGAAGUCUCUUGUAGUACCAGAACAACACGGCGCUAGCAAUCAUCGACUUCUUAUCCUGG